CUUCAGUGAUGAUACGAUGACGAGACAGAAUAAGACUCGAUCUGGGUCUGGAGGUCACUUGUUCAGUUCCACGUUCUGUGGUUCUGUUCUGGUUCCUCAGAUCAGGGGGUCCUUUCAAUAUGAAGACACAGAGGCAUUUGUCUGAGAGGG
rnacentral:snoRNA from 1 species